UCCGAAGGGGGCUAGCGUUGUUCGGAAUUACUGGGCGUAAAGCGCACGUAGGCGGAUCGAUCAGUCAGGGGUGAAAUCCCAGGGCUCAACCCUGGAACUGCCUUUGAUACUGUCGAUCUGGAGUAUGGAAGAGGUGAGUGGAAUUCCGAGUGUAGAGGUGAAAUUCGUAGAUAUUCGGAGGAACACCAGUGGCGAAGGCGGCUCACUGGUCCAUUACUGACGCUGAGGUGCGAAAGCGUGGGGAGCAAACAGG
rnacentral:rRNA from 1 species